rnacentral:rRNA from 2 species
UUAAUUUGAGAGUUUGAUCCUGGCUCAGGACGAACGCUGGCGGCGUGCCUAAUACAUGCAAGUCGAACGAACUCUGGUAUUGAUUGGUGCUUGCAUCAUGAUUUACAUUUGAGUGAGUGGCGAACUGGUGAGUAACACGUGGGAAACCUGCCCAGAAGCGGGGGAUAACACCUGGAAACAGAUGCUAAUACCGCAUAACAACUUGGACCGCAUGGUCCGAGUUUGAAAGAUGGCUUCGGCUAUCACUUUUGGAUGGUCCCGCGGCGUAUUAGCUAGAUGGUGGGGUAACGGCUCACCAUGGCAAUGAUACGUAGCCGACCCGAGAGGGUAAUCGGCCACAUUGGGACUGAGACACGGCCCAAACUCCUACGGGAGGCAGCAGUAGGGAAUCUUCCACAAUGGACGAAAGUCUGAUGGAGCAACGCCGCGUGAGUGAAGAAGGGUUUCGGCUCGUAAAACUCUGUUGUUAAAGAAGAACAUAUCUGAGAGUAACUGUUCAGGUAUUGACGGUAUUUAACCAGAAAGCCACGGCUAACUACGUGCCAGCAGCCGCGGUAAUACGUAGGUGGCAAGCGUUGUCCGGAUUUAUUGGGCGUAAAGCGAGCGCAGGCGGUUUUUUAAGUCUGAUGUGAAAGCCUUCGGCUCAACCGAAGAAGUGCAUCGGAAACUGGGAAACUUGAGUGCAGAAGAGGACAGUGGAACUCCAUGUGUAGCGGUGAAAUGCGUAGAUAUAUGGAAGAACACCAGUGGCGAAGGCGGCUGUCUGGUCUGUAACUGACGCUGAGGCUCGAAAGUAUGGGUAGCAAACAGGAUUAGAUACCCUGGUAGUCCAUACCGUAAACGAUGAAUGCUAAGUGUUGGAGGGUUUCCGCCCUUCAGUGCUGCAGCUAACGCAUUAAGCAUUCCGCCUGGGGAGUACGGCCGCAAGGCUGAAACUCAAAGGAAUUGACGGGGGCCCGCACAAGCGGUGGAGCAUGUGGUUUAAUUCGAAGCUACGCGAAGAACCUUACCAGGUCUUGACAUACUAUGCAAAUCUAAGAGAUUAGACGUUCCCUUCGGGGACAUGGAUACAGGUGGUGCAUGGUUGUCGUCAGCUCGUGUCGUGAGAUGUUGGGUUAAGUCCCGCAACGAGCGCAACCCUUAUUAUCAGUUGCCAGCAUUAAGUUGGGCACUCUGGUGAGACUGCCGGUGACAAACCGGAGGAAGGUGGGGAUGACGUCAAAUCAUCAUGCCCCUUAUGACCUGGGCUACACACGUGCUACAAUGGAUGGUACAACGAGUUGCGAACUCGCGAGAGUAAGCUAAUCUCUUAAAGCCAUUCUCAGUUCGGAUUGUAGGCUGCAACUCGCCUACAUGAAGUCGGAAUCGCUAGUAAUCGCGGAUCAGCAUGCCGCGGUGAAUACGUUCCCGGGCCUUGUACACACCGCCCGUCACACCAUGAGAGUUUGUAACACCCAAAGUCGGUGGGGUAACCUUUUAGGAACCAGCCGCCUAAGGUGGGACAGAUGAUUAGGGUGAAGUCGUAACAAGGUAGCCGUAGGAGAACCUGCGGCUGGAUCACCUCCUUUCUAAGGAA